GAUGAACGCUAGCGGGAGGCCUAACACAUGCAAGCCGAGCGGUAGAGUUCCUUCGGGAUCUUGAGAGCGGCGUACGGGUGCGUAACACGUGUGCAACCUACCUUUAUCUGGGGGAUAGCCUUUCGAAAGGAAGAUUAAUACCCCAUAAUAUAAUGAUUGGCAUCAAUUAUUAUUGAAAACUCCGGUGGAUAGAGAUGGGCACGCGCAAGAUUAGAUAGUUGGUGAGGUAACGGCUCACCAAGCCAAUGAUCUUUAGGGGUCCUGAGAGGGAGAUCCCCCACACUGGUACUGAGACACGGACCAGACUCCUACGGGAGGCAGCAGUGAGGAAUAUUGGACAAUGGGUGAAAGCCUGAUCCAGCCAUCCCGCGUGAAGGAUGACGGUCCUAUGGAUUGUAAACUUCUUUUGUACAGGGAUAAACCUACUCUCGUGAGGGUAGCUGAAGGUACUGUACGAAUAAGCACCGGCUAACUCCGUG
rnacentral:rRNA from 1 species